AACGAACGCUGGCGGAAUGCCUAACACAUGCAAGUCGAACGAUCCCUUCGGGGAUAGUGGCGCACGGGUGCGUAACGCGUGGGAACCUGCCCUUAGGUUCGGAAUAACUCAGAGAAAUUUGAGCUAAUACCGGAUAAUGUCUUCGGACCAAAGAUUUAUCGCCUUUGGAUGGGCCCGCGUUGGAUUAGCUAGUUGGUGGGGUAAAGGCCUACCAAGGCGACGAUCCAUAGCUGGUCUGAGAGGAUGAUCAGCCACACUGGGACUGAGACACGGCCCAGACUCCUACGGGAGGCAGCAGUGGGGAAUAUUGGACAAUGGGCGAAAGCCUGAUCCAGCAAUGCCGCGUGAGUGAUGAAGGCCUUAGGGUUGUAAAGCUCUUUUACCCGGGAUGAUAAAGACAGUACCGGGAGAAUAAGCCCCGGCUAACUCCGUG
rnacentral:rRNA from 1 species